rnacentral:rRNA from 1 species
GAUGAACGCUGGCGGCGUGCCUAAUACAUGCAAGUCGAGCGAACGGACGAGAAGCUUGCUUCUCUGAUGUUAGCGGCGGACGGGUGAGUAACACGUGGAUAACCUACCUAUAAGACUGGGAUAACUUCGGGAAACCGUAGCUAAUACCGGAUAAUAUUUUGAACCGCAUGGUUCAAAAGUGAAAGACGGCCUUGCUGUCACUUAUAGAUGGAUCCGCGCUGCAUUAGCUAGUUGGUAAGGUAACGGCUUACCAAGGCAACGAUGCAUAGCCGACCUGAGAGGGUGAUCGGCCACACUGGAACUGAGACACGGUCCAGACUACUACGGGAGGCAGCAGUAGGGAAUCUUCCGCAAUGGGCGAAAGCCUGACGGAGCAACGCCGCGUGAGUGAUGAAGGUCUUCGGAUCGUAAAACUCUGUUAUUAGGGAAGAACAUAUGUGUAAGUAACUGUGCACAUCUUGACGGUACCUAAUCAGAAAGCCACGGCUAACUACGUG